rnacentral:rRNA from 1 species
GUGAUGGGGAAAAGUACGUAAAAACGGUACCUAAUACCGCAAAAUGUCGCAAGACCAAAGAGGGGGACCUUCGGGCCUCUUGCCAUCAGAUGUGCCCAGAUGGGAUUAGCUAGUAGGUGGGGUAACGGCUCACCUAGGCGACGAUCCCUAGCUGGUCUGAGAGGAUGACCAGCCACACUGGAACUGAAACACGGUCCAGACUCCUACGGGAGGCAGCAGUGGGGAAUAUUGCACAAUGGGCGCAAGCGGGAGUGGGAGCCAUGCCGCGUGUAUGAAGAAGGCCUUCGGGUUGUAAAGUACUUUCAGCGGGGAGGAAGGUGUUGUGGUUAAUAACCGCAGCAAUUGACGUUACCCGCAAAAGAACCACCGGCUAACUCCGUGCCAGCAGCCGCG